GGAAGAUCUAUCCUCAUCGAAGCUCCAUCAAAUCCAAUCCCUGCCAUUGCACUUCACGAGGACAAGCCAUGACAACGACGCUGGCUGGUGUGGGCAUCUCCACCUCUAGGGUUUGUCUCUGUGAAGACCGACCGCCGCCGAGUGAGCUCCCGCCAGGUCGUGCUCGUCGCAAGCGCCCGCCCACCAUAUCGGAGAAGGUGGCGGGAAGCAUCAGGAACGCGGAGGAGACGUGCGUGGAGGACGCUGCGAGCGGAGAGUGCGCCGCAGCGUGGGAUGAGGUUGAGGAGUUGACCGCCGCGGUCAGCCACCCCCGGGACAAUCUCAUGGCCGAUGAUCCCCUCGAACGACUGCAAGGACGACAGCCCAGAGGCCGAGGAGUGCCGCACCUUCGAGGCCUAAGAAGACUUCCAGACGAAGCAGCAAUCAUCCAUAGUGUCGGAAAGAGAAACGGCAAGCGAUGGAAAGGCUGAUGAGUUAGAACGGGAGCAUGUUGUCAGUCGCCACGAUCACUCGCUCGGAGUAGGGAAGCUGCCAUGGCCGGAGGAGAUGAGCAGGAAUCUCCGGUCUUCCCAUUGCCAUCCCACCAAUCUCCUCUGUGAUUCCAAGCACUGGGGUCAGCGACUGCAGCCUCUGCGUCAAUUCAUGCAGUUGAGCUCGCAGGAUGGCGUUCUCAACCUCCACCGUCGUGUAUUGCCGCCUUUGCAGAGUGAUCUGCAUCUCGAUCUGGCCAUUUUGGGUCUUGAGCUGCGCUGCUUGGUUCGUCAGAUCAUCCAAUUGUUGUUGCUUCCUCAUCCGGGACCUCCGCGCCGACUCCCGGUUGGAGAUCAUCCUCUUUCGCUUCCUUUCGUCAAUGGCAGGCUGUGCGUCAACUUCAGAUGCCGAAGGUCGGUAGAUUGCAAAGGAAGGCAUACUCUUACUGCAGGGGGAAUGCAUUCCACGCUAGUCGAUCAUAAAUUGGAACGAGAGAGUCCUUCCUCGAAAGGACUGGCUCAGGAAACGAGAUUUAGGUUAUGAGAAGACGUAGAACCAGUAGAGGAAUGCGCCGAGGAGGAGUGGAGGAAGCAGAUGCGGGCGAGUAGCGAGAUUCAUACUCUAAAAGAUGGUUUUAUCGGUGAACAUUGAGUUUACGAACAAAAUCUUUCUAAAAGAUCAGAAGCCAAAAUCCAAUGAAUGAAUUCCUCGAUCGGAGAGAGCAAGAAGAAGCGAUCUCAAAGCUAAAGACUACGCGAUCUUACAUGCUCCAAACAAGCGAUUCACCUACGGAGGCGGAUCCCAAGAUCCGAUUUUGGGAUUCGAGGGUUGAAGAAAACAACCGAGAAGCCAAAACUACCAGCAAAAGAUCAGAUUUUGAAGCAGGAUUGCUGCUCAAACAAGGAUUCCACCUUAUAUUAGCCAGGAAAAGGUCAGAAUAAGGCGACAAAAUACAGAGAAAUGAACCAAACUUCCUCCAAUAUUAGGAAAGGAACAAGAAAUACUUAGCUGGAAAGAGGAGAAAGAUCAAAUCUCCAAUAGAGCAACCGAAUGAAGGAAAGAAGGGUAGAGAUAUCCUGCAAUAAACUAUUUAUAGCAGAGGAGAAGGCUGUUUCCAAUGUACUUGACAUAGAACAGCUCGAUAUCUGUUCUAUAAUUAUCUCAUUGCUUGGUUACAUGACUUGGUAUGAAUUGAUACGUAUACUUCACUGUUCCUCGAGCAAAUUAGUAAUAGAAUUCGACACAAUAAAAUUUUCCA